rnacentral:tRNA from 1 species
GGAAGGGAAUCGCUUCUGGUGGAGCGGCUGGGCUUCAAACCCAGUGGGUGGCGCCAUGCGUUGCCGGGUGGGUUCGACUCCCGCUCCCUUCCGCCA